AACGAACGCUGGCGGCAUGCCUAACACAUGCAAGUCGAACGAGGGCUUCGGCCUUAGUGGCGCACGGGUGCGUAACGCGUGGGAAUCUGCCCUUUGGUUCGGAAUAACAGCUGGAAACGGCUGCUAAUACCGGAUGAUGACGAAAGUCCAAAGAUUUAUCGCCAGAGGAUGAGCCCGCGUUGGAUUAGGUAGUUGGUGGGGUAAAGGCCUACCAAGCCGACGAUCCAUAGCUGGUCUGAGAGGAUGAUCAGCCACACUGGGACUGAGACACGGCCCAGACUCCUACGGGAGGCAGCAGUGGGGAAUAUUGGACAAUGGGCGCAAGCCUGAUCCAGCAAUGCCGCGUGAGUGAUGAAGGCCCUAGGGUUGUAAAGCUCUUUUACCCGGGAAGAUAAUGACUGUACCGGGAGAAUAAGCCCCGGCUAACUCCGUG
rnacentral:rRNA from 1 species